rnacentral:rRNA from 1 species
UCUUGGUCAUUUAGAGGAAGUAAAAGUCGUAACAAGGUUUCCGUAGGUGAACCUGCGGAAGGAUCAUUACCUAGAGUUGUAGGCUUUGCCUGCUAUCUCUUACCCAUGUCUUUUGAGUACUUACGUUUCCUCGGCGGGUCCGCCCGCCGAUUGGACAAUUUAAACCAUUUGCAGUUGCAAUCAGCGUCUGAAAAACUUUAAUAGUUACAACUUUCAACAACGGAUCUCUUGGUUCUGGCAUCGAUGAAGAACGCAGCGAAAUGCGAUAAGUAGUGUGAAUUGCAGAAUUCAGUGAAUCAUCGAAUCUUUGAACGCACAUUGCGCCCCUUGGUAUUCCAUGGGGCAUGCCUGUUCGAGCGUCAUUUGUACCUUCAAGCUUUGCUUGGUGUUGGGUGUUUGUCUCGCCUCUGCGUGUAGACUCGCCUUAAAACAAUUGGCAGCCGGCGUAUUGAUUUCGGAGCGCAGUACAUCUCGCGCUUUGCACUCAUAACGACGACGUCCAAAAGUACAUUUUUACACUCUUGACCUCGGAUCAGGUAGGGAUACCCGCUGAACUUAAGCAUAUCAAUAAGCGGAGGAA